AAACAGAAGAGAGCAUCUUUGAGUUAUAAAUCAUGGAAGAUUAUCCUGGCCUCUCCCUCCUAACCAAGAACCUCCUGCAAAUAACUGGCCCAGGAAAAUUCAAGUCGUUCAAUAAUGAGUAGCAAAGGAAACUGGCACAGUCUCAACACUAAGCAGUCACUUCUGUGAAAGAAGACAAAAAAGAAAUGGAAGAAGAAAGAAAAGAACGUAGGAAAUAUAACACAAGAUAGAGGAAGGAGGAGAGGAAACCUGAGACAGCAGAUUUCAAGAGAGGUGCAGAAGACAAACAAAACCAUCAGAGAAAUAAAGAUGAAAUUGAAGCAAGCACAAAAAGCAGUAGACAGUGAGAAGAAUACAAGGGAAAAAAAGCUAUCUUUUGCUGUGUGCAGUAUUGACAUGAUGGAAAUCCAAGUGCUUGAUUUGCUUCUACCAAAACCAGAGAAGUUUGUUGGCUAUUCCUGCCAAAUACUUUCUCUAACCUUCCCCAGUAGUGUCAACAGUAAGAUGUUCUUCUAAGAAUGUUCCAGCAUAAACCGCCGUAUCUCUAACAUUCAUCUAACAUGGAUCAUGGGUUCCUUUGUGACCAUUUUUUUGUUGUCUUAUUAUUUAACAUUCCACAUG